CAAACCCUAGAGUUUAUUUCCACUGCACUACCCAAUUUCCUCCUCGCGUUCAAAGAGGCGAUUCUACAACUUGAGUUUCUCCUUCAACCAUGAGAGCUAAGUGGAAGAAGAAGCGUAUGAGGAGAUUGAAGAGGAAGCGCCGAAAGAUGAGGCAGAGAUCCAAGUAGAGGCAUCCGACGCGUCGUUUCUAGGGUUUCAUCGCCAUCUGUUUUUUCGAAUUUUGUUAUGUAGUGGAGUAUGACUCUUCUAAACUACAUGUUUUUUUGGAUCUACUUUUUAAUCAGUUGAGGGUUUCGUUUUUUAA